rnacentral:rRNA from 1 species
UACGAAGGGGGCUAGCGUUGCUCGGAAUCACUGGGCGUAAAGCGCACGUAGGCGGAUCUUUAAGUCAGGGGUGAAAUCCUGGAGCUCAACUCCAGAACUGCCUCUGAUACUGGGGAUCUUGAGUCCGGAAGAGGUAAGUGGAAUUCCGAGUGUAGAGGUGAAAUUCGUAGAUAUUCGGAAGAACACUAGUGGCGAAGGCGACUUACUGGACACAUAUUGACGCUGAGGUGCGAAAGCGUGGGGAGCAAACAGG